UUAUGUGGGAAUGAUGGGUAUAUAUAGUGCGUGGAUGCGCAGACCACGCUGACGCGGAGCCUCCACGAGACUGGUGCGUGGCCGACUUGCUGCUGGGCCGUCGUCUGCGGGGCGUGGUGCGGGGCGCGCUGACGAGCCGGCCGCCCCGGCUGCCGCCCGCGGUGCUUCCCCACCUGCAGCUGGUGACGGACCCGGAGUCCCAGUCGCGCGCGUCGACGCCAGCGCGCAGCCUGGCCAGGUCGGCCUCGUGGGAGACCAUCUUUCUCUACUCGCAGUACGCCCGGCCCUUGGACGUGCUCAGCGAAAAUUGGGAACGGCAUCAACGUAGGAAAGUCCUCCGCCGCCUCUUCUGCUGCUGUCCGCAAACCUGAGUAGAACAUGCGGCGUCGCAAGUCACCUUGUAUCCGCUUCAAAACGGCACCGAGGAAGUCAUCUUCGCGUUUGAAAAUUCGGUCUUCGGUCAAAAUAGUUAUUCGAACGCAACAUUAAAGAAGUUUUUAUUUUGC